GGGUCCAUGGCGCAGUGGUUAGCGCAGGGAACUCAUAAUUCCUUGGUCGCAGGUUCGAAUCCUGCUGGACCCA
rnacentral:tRNA from 1 species